CCACAAAUGGAUUUCCUUUAAAGAAUUAUUUUGUUGUUGUUCCAAAUUUGCUGAUUAUUUUUUAUUUAUGGGAUUUAAAGAUAAAUCCAGUUACGAAAUUUUAUAUAGUUGAGAAAUCAAGCUUAAGAAAGUAAGCCAAUUAAGGCAAAUAUAGUGCCAGCAGCCGCGGUCAUACUAUAUUGGUAAGCAAACAGGAUUAGUUAUUAUUGAAUUUAAUAUAAAAAUUAUUUUUCGUAGUGAAAUACAAAUGUAUUAAAAUGCAAAAAAAUUAAAUAAAUGUAAAGAAACUCUACACAACAAACAAGGAUUAGAUACCCUUUUAUGAAGAAUUUAAAAAAUAAUCACUGGGCAUUAAAGUAAUAAAACCCAAACCCAAAUAACAUGGCGGUAAUUUUAAUACUUAGGGGAACUUACCUAUUAAAUGAUAACCACCAAGAAAAGCUAUUUCUGGUAAAAUUUUGUAUGCCGUCGUCUAAACUUAAUUAGAUAUUAAGUUAAAACCCUUAAGGAGUAAGACAGAUCAAGGUGCAGAUUAUCCAGAAAAUUAAGGCGAGUUACAAUAUUAAAUUAUUUCUAUAUACCUAUAAAUAAAGGCUUGUUAGAUGGACUUAAAAGUAAGAAUAAAUAAAGAUAAAAUCUGAAUUUCAAUAAAAUUGUGC
rnacentral:rRNA from 1 species